rnacentral:lncRNA from 1 species
GGAAUACGAUGAAGCUUGUCAACAGAUUUUUAUUUUUUCUCUUAUAUUUAAUUUUUAUGCAAUAAAAUUAUAUUUUUAUUUUAUAUCUUUUUAUUUUUCUGAGGUAUUGAUCUAGUCUACACAUCCUAUACCCUCUACUGACGUGCCGUAAUCCCUGGAUACGGUACAUGCUUCGGAGAGAUAGAUCGUAGUAUAUUAGAUUA